AAGCCACUUCAGAAUGUGAUUACAGCAAUGAGAGGUGUUCUCAGUAAAGCAGAACUCCAAUGUGUACUCACUGGUUCGAGGUCUUUCCACUGCGUAUUGUGUUAGCACCCUCGGGCAUUCAACAACUUGAAAACUGGAUUGAAAAUGAGAGACAGAGCAGCCACUGCAGAAGCUUCCAAAAUCACUCUGCACUUUCUUGAACUGCUGCAAUCCACGUGGUGAUGUGGCUCCCAUGUUGCAAAUUGGUCGAUGAUAUCCUUUGAAGAACAGGAGAUCUGAAGUGGACACAUUACUCCAGAAGAGGCCUCACUGAUGUUCUGCACAAUUUCAACAUGACGUCCCACCUCCUGUACUCAAAAGGAAAUUUGAAAGGGAACAUUUACUGACAGGCAGCUCAACUCAAACACUGGAUCAAAAACUGCCAGGAACACUUAAUUCUCAGGAGCUUUGAACAUGGAAGGAACAAGCAUCGUUUACAGUGAAGAGAAACCAUACAUGUGGUCUGUAUGGACAAGCCUUCAGUCAGUUCUCUGUCCUGUCAGUACGUAAAUGCAGUCAAAACAGGGUGACAACAAUGACAUCAAGCAGCACUUGCUUUGCAAUAUCAUAGUGAUGGAUCUCAGUUUGAGUUAAGCAAGGGCCACUCAUCUCCUCUCCUCCCUACAUUCUUGGUGCAAACAUGGACCAAACAGCUGAAUUCCAAAUGUGAGAGUGACUAUCCACUAUCCUAAGACUCCCUUUGACAGAGCAUUGUAUUAAGGAAUCAUGACAAAGCUAAAUUCAAGAGGAACCAGAGAAUAUUAUUCUUCCUUGGAUAGCCGGUUUUUGAAAGCAUUGUGUCUUCAGACCUCAGUAGAUUGAAACAAGGUGAGUUUAUUCAAACUUGUGCCACAUACACGUGGAAGAGGUCUAUAAGUCGAGCAUGGAGACACUUCCAUUUACAGCUACUCAGAAACAGCAGAUGAAGGCAUUUUCACGUCAGAAUGGUUGCAUGUAACAUUGAUAUAAAAUAAAUUUAUAUGUCAGUUACUUAAUAAAACAGGAUGCUGUUCAGUUUCUGACAAAGUUCUGAGUCUUCUAAUUUCAACAGGACUGCCACUUCCAUACUAUCUUCAGAGCUUCUCUACCCCACCAUCAGCUCACAGCUGGGUCAGUGUCUUGUUAUUGCAGCAAGUCUGUGAGGGUGUCCAAAAACGAAUUUGACAUUUGCAACAAGAGCAGGGUUUCAACAUGUACAGCAGUCUCACGUGGAGGGCUGAAUAAGUGAUCGCUCGAGUGUCGGUGGAGUGAGACGGACGGGCCCGCAAGGUACGAUUCACCUUGGUCUCUCUCACUAACCUGCCAUCCGUGUGACCCCUCGCCCCUGCGUGUCUCAGUACUGACGGAACCCGAGACAACUCACGGUCUUGAACACUGCUGAAUCCUAACGCCUGGAGGUUCGAGUCCCCAGAUGUAUUCAGUGGGUGGAUAGAGGCUUUCCCAACGACAAACAACAAAGCCUCAACAGUAGUAAAACUGUCAUUAACCAAAAUAAUACCAAGGUUUGGAGUACGGCAACAAAUUCGUUCGAACGGCGGCUCUCACUUUGUAGGGAAAAUUAAUAAGGAACUGUGUGGUACAUUUCACAUCCAACAACAAUUCCACUGCCUACCACCCUCGGGCAGCAGGGAUAAUGGAGAGAGCUAAUGGAACACUGAAAACCAAACUGACCAAGUUGACACCAGAAACUGGCCUGAAUUGGUUAAAGGUUUUGCCACUAGCCUUGUAUCACAUGCGAAUAACACCCCACUCUACUACUGGGCUCUCAGCAGUGGAAAUAGCCUAUGGCCUACCCAGCAGAACACCAUGGGAUGACAAUGCCAGCCCACCCACCAAAACUGACCUAAAUGUGAUGGGAGAAGAAAUGCAAAGGUACUUCCAACAACUAACAUCAUCUUUAAGUUUCUCCAUUUGCCGGUGAAGUGCGCCUUCGGACCACCUCCGCAGACACCGGAACAAGACCUCGAGAUUCAGGAUCGAUCUUCGUGGCUGCAGAUUGGAGAUUUUGUACUUGUCCGGGACUGGGAUCGCCCCAAGCUUGGACCAAGGUGGAAAGGACCGUACCAAGUGUUUCUUCAGACUCCGACAGCCCUUAAAGCUCAAGGACUGAAUCGCUGGAUCCACUUAAGUGACUGUAAACGAUGGAUUUCCUCAUCAGCGUGCAUUUAACCAUUGGACUGAGUAUUAUUCUGCCCAUGCAUGGCCAGCAGGACGAUCUGUUUUAUAAAACACACAUCCGGCUGCACGGGAAUUGGACAGCAUGUUACCCACUAGCACCGUCCGUCGAAGCGUUAUUUGUAGCGACACCUGCCUGGAAGCCUCGUCAGCUUUAUGAAAUAGAGU